AGAGUUUGAUCAUGGCUCAGAUUGAACGCUGGCGGCAGGCCUAACACAUGCAAGUCGAGCGGUAGCACAGAGAGCUUGCUCUCGGGUGACGAGCGGCGGACGGGUGAGUAAUGUCUGGGAAACUGCCUGAUGGAGGGGGAUAACUACUGGAAACGGUAGCUAAUACCGCAUAAUGUCGCAAGACCAAAGUGGGGGACCUUCGGGCCUCAUGCCAUCAGAUGUGCCCAGAUGGGAUUAGCUAGUAGGUGGGGUAACGGCUCACCUAGGCGACGAUCCCUAGCUGGUCUGAGAGGAUGACCAGCCACACUGGAACUGAGACACGGUCCAGACUCCUACGGGAGGCAGCAGUGGGGAAUAUUGCACAAUGGGCGCAAGCCUGAUGCAGCCAUGCCGCGUGUGUGAAGAAGGCCUUCGGGUUGUAAAGCACUUUCAGCGGGGAGGAAGGCGAUAAGGUUAAUAACCUUGUCGAUUGACGUUACCCGCAGAAGAAGCACCGGCUAACUCCGUGCCAGCAGCCGCGGUAAUACGGAGGGUGCAAGCGUUAAUCGGAAUUACUGGGCGUAAAGCGCACGCAGGCGGUCUGUCAAGUCGGAUGUGAAAUCCCCGGGCUCAACCUGGGAACUGCAUUCGAAACUGGCAGGCUAGAGUCUUGUAGAGGGGGUAGAAUUCCAGGUGUAGCGGUGAAAUGCGUAGAGAUCUGGAGGAAUACCGGUGGCGAAGGCGGCCCCCUGGACAAAGACUGACGCUCAGGUGCGAAAGCGUGGGGAGCAAACAGGAUUAGAUACCCUGGUAGUCCACGCCGUAAACGAUGUCGAUUUGGAGGUUGUGCCCUUGAGGCGUGGCUUCCGGAGCUAACGCGUUAAAUCGACCGCCUGGGGAGUACGGCCGCAAGGUUAAAACUCAAAUGAAUUGACGGGGGCCCGCACAAGCGGUGGAGCAUGUGGUUUAAUUCGAUGCAACGCGAAGAACCUUACCUGGUCUUGACAUCCACAGAACUUUCCAGAGAUGGAUUGGUGCCUUCGGGAACUGUGAGACAGGUGCUGCAUGGCUGUCGUCAGCUCGUGUUGUGAAAUGUUGGGUUAAGUCCCGCAACGAGCGCAACCCUUAUCCUUUGUUGCCAGCGGUUAGGCCGGGAACUCAAAGGAGACUGCCAGUGAUAAACUGGAGGAAGGUGGGGAUGACGUCAAGUCAUCAUGGCCCUUACGACCAGGGCUACACACGUGCUACAAUGGCAUAUACAAAGAGAAGCGACCUCGCGAGAGCAAGCGGACCUCAUAAAGUAUGUCGUAGUCCGGAUUGGAGUCUGCAACUCGACUCCAUGAAGUCGGAAUCGCUAGUAAUCGUAGAUCAGAAUGCUACGGUGAAUACGUUCCCGGGCCUUGUACACACCGCCCGUCACACCAUGGGAGUGGGUUGCAAAAGAAGUAGGUAGCUUAACCUUCGGGAGGGCGCUUACCACUUUGUGAUUCAUGACUGGGGUGAAGUCGUAACAAGGUAACCGUAGGGGAACCUGCGGUUGGAUCACCU
rnacentral:rRNA from 2 species